GCAGGGCACGGAGCCGAUCCCAGACGGAGAUCCAGACCCAGACGGAGACACUGAUUGGGGACAGAGGAGCCACACUCGGCGGGCGACAGAAGGCACGAGUCAACUUGGCGAGGUAAUAGGACAGUCCCUCGCUCGCUAGUUAAGCUGAGGAGAAGCGGUCAACUUUGAAUGCAGUGUGUUUACAGAGAGCAACUGACAACUGUUACAUACUCGGAGUCCAGUGUCUCUUCAGGGCCCGCGGACCAUCCGAGCCUUUGGCGCCGGGGAGAGGUUCCAGAAAGCCUUUGAUGCCCAUCAAGACUUGCACUCACUAUUAGAUUCAAUACGAAGCUUCUGUGAGCCGCGUCAGUCCAGUGUCGAUAACCUAGGCCCGGUUCCUGUCGCCGACCACCUCUCGCCGGUUCGCCGACCGUCUCGACGGCAUCUGCUCCAUCUUUGUUACCGUCAGCGCCUUUGGCUGCCUGCUGCUCAGAGACCAUGAUGUCAUUUGAGAGAGUGAAGCACCCUGGGAAACCCAGAAGCGUCCUCAAAAAGCCUCAGCUUCUCCUACGGUGGCGACGGACCGCCGGUGCUGCAGAACCUGACAGCGAUGUUCCGCCCCAAAGAGAAGGUUGGUAUUGUGGGCAGAAAAGCUCUCUGGUCUCAGCUCUCUUCUGCCUCAGGGGAAGAUCUUCAUCGACUGGGUUCUGACCUCUAAGUUCGGCCUGCGCCAGAAGAGAUCCAUCAUUCCUCAGGUAAACAUCAGCUGACCUCC